UACGAAGGGGGCUAGCGUUGCUCGGAAUCACUGGGCGUAAAGGGUGCGUAGGCGGGUCUUUAAGUCAGGGGGGAAAUCCUGGAGCUCAACUCCAGAACUGCCUUUGAUACUGAAGAUCUUGAGUUCGGGAGAGGUGAGUGGAACUGCGAGUGUAGAGGUGAAAUUCGUAGAUAUUCGCAAGAACACCAGUGGCGAAGGCGGCUCACUGGCCCGAUACUGACGCUGAUGCACGAAAGCGUGGGGUGCAAACAGG
rnacentral:rRNA from 1 species